rnacentral:rRNA from 1 species
GAUGAACGCUGGCGGCGUGCCUAAUACAUGCAAGUCGAGCGAACAGACGAGGAGCUUGCUCCUCUGACGUUAGCGGCGGACGGGUGAGUAACACGUGGAUAACCUACCUAUAAGACUGGGAUAACUUCGGGAAACCGGAGCUAAUACCGGAUAAUAUAUUGAACCGCAUGGUUCAAUAGUGAAAGACGGUUUUGCUGUCACUUAUAGAUGGAUCCGCGCCGCAUUAGCUAGUUGGUAAGGUAAUGGCUUACCAAGGCAACGAUGCGUAGCCGACCUGAGAGGGUGAUCGGCCACACUGGAACGGAGACACGGUCCAGACUCCUACGGGAGGCAGCAGUAGUGAAUCUUCCGCAAUGGGCGAAAGCCUGACGGAGCAGCGCCGCGUGAGUGAUGAAGGUCUUCGGAUCGUAAAACUCUGUUAUUAGGGAAGAACAAAUGUGUAAGUAACUAUGCACGUCUUGACGGUACCUAAUCAGAAAGCCACGGCUAACUACGUG